rnacentral:rRNA from 1 species
AACGCGAAGAACCUUACCUGGUCUUGACAUCCACGGAAGUUUUCAGAGAUGAGAAUGUGCCUUCGGGAACCGUGAGACAGGUGCUGCAUGGCUGUCGUCAGCUCGUGUUGUGAAAUGUUGGGUUAAGUCCCGCAACGAGCGCAACCCUUAUCCUUUGUUGCCAGCGGUCCGGCCGGGAACUCAAAGGAGACUGCCAGUGAUAAGCUGGAGGAAGGUGGGGAUGACGUCAAGUCAUCAUGGCCCUUACGACCAGGGCUACACACGUGCUACAAUGGCGCAUACAAAGAGAAGCGACCUCGCGAGAGCAAGCGGACCUCAUAAAGUGCGUCGUAGUCCGGAUUGGAGUCUGCAACUCGACUCCAUGAAGUCGGAAUCGCUAGUAAUCGUGGAUCAGAAUGCCACGGUGAAUACGUUCCCGGGCCUUGUACACACCG